AGAGUUUGAUCCUGGCUCAGGACGAACGCUGGCGGCACGCUUAACACAUGCAAGUCGAACGAGAGAAGAGGAGCUUGCUUUUCUGAUCUAGUGGCGGACGGGUGAGUAACACGUGAGCAAUCUGCCUUUCAGAGGGGGAUACCGAUUGGAAACGAUCGUUAAUACCGCAUAACAUAAUUGAACCGCAUGAUUUGAUUAUCAAAGAUUUAUCGCUGAAAGAUGAGCUCGCGUCUGAUUAGCUAGUUGGUAAGGUAACGGCUUACCAAGGCGACGAUCAGUAGCCGGACUGAGAGGUUGAUCGGCCACAUUGGGACUGAGACACGGCCCAGACUCCUACGGGAGGCAGCAGUGGGGAAUAUUGCACAAUGGAGGAAACUCUGAUGCAGCGAUGCCGCGUGAGGGAAGAAGGUUUUAGGAUUGUAAACCUCUGUCUUCAGGGACGAAAAAAGACGGUACCUGAGGAGGAAGCUCCGGCUAACUACGUGCCAGCAGCCGCGGUAAUACGUAGGGAGCGAGCGUUGUCCGGAAUUACUGGGUGUAAAGGGAGCGUAGGCGGGAUCGCAAGUCAGAUGUGAAAACUAUGGGCUUAACCCAUAAACUGCAUUUGAAACUGUGGUUCUUGAGUGAAGUAGAGGUAAGCGGAAUUCCUAGUGUAGCGGUGAAAUGCGUAGAUAUUAGGAGGAACAUCAGUGGCAAAGGCGGCUUACUGGGCUUUAACUGACGCUGAGGCUCGAAAGCGUGGGGAGCAAACAGGAUUAGAUACCCUGGUAGUCCACGCCGUAAACGAUGAUUACUAGGUGUGGGGGGACUGACCCCUUCCGUGCCGCAGCAAACGCAAUAAGUAAUCCACCUGGGGAGUACAACCGCAGGGUUGAAACUCAAAGGAAUUGACGGGGGCCCGCACAAGCAGUGGAGUAUGUGGAUUAAUUCGAAGCAACGCGAAGAACCUUACCAGGUCUUGACAUCGUAUGCAUAGCUCAGAGAUGAGUGAAAUCUCUUCGGAGACAUAUAGACAGGUGGUGCAUGGUUGUCGUCAGCUCGUGUCGUGAGAUGUUGGGUUAAGUCCCGCAACGAGCGCAACCCUUACUGUUAGUUGCUACGCAAGAGCACUCUAGCAGGACUGCCGUUGACAAAACGGAGGAAGGUGGGGAUGACGUCAAAUCAUCAUGCCCCUUAUGACCUGGGCCUCACACGUACUACAAUGGCUGUCAACAGAGGGAAGCAAAGCCGCGAGGUGGAGCGAACCCCUAAAAGCAGUCUUAGUUCGGAUUGUGGGCUGCAACCCGCCUACAUGAAGUCGGAAUUGCUAGUAAUCGCAGAUCAGCAUGCUGCGGUGAAUACGUUCCCGGGCCUUGUACACACCGCCCGUCACGCCAUGGGAGUCGGUAACACCCGAAGCCUGUAGUCUAACCGCAAGGAGGACGCAGUCGAAGGUGGGAUUGAUGACUGGGGUGAAGUCGUAACAAGGUA
rnacentral:rRNA from 1 species